AAUAUUUUUUUGUUGUUGUUCUAGGGACGAGUUCUCACUAUGUUGCCCAGGCUGGCCUCGAACUCCUGGGCUCAAGCAAUCCUCCUGCGUUGGCCUCCCAAAGUCCUGGGAUUACAGGUGUAAGCCACUACGGCUGGCCUAUUAUUGCUGUAUUCUAACUUAUUCAUCUCCUAUGUGUCAGAGAUGGCUUUGGAUUCCCCGUUCUGUGUGCUGCUGUCUGGCUCCUGAACCCAGCUGUAGAGGUGUGUCAAUCCCAACUGGUGAAGUACUGAGAGGAAGCUACACAAAAGGCAGCAAAGUAUUAGUGAGUGGUGUCAUUGAGCAAACACGAAGUCGGGCUCAUCCAAGGAUGAGAUUUUGCCAGAGAAAGGACGAGCAGCAAGUCAGGGAGCUUAAGGUAAUUAUGGGAAAGUGACUAUCUACAAUUGCUUAGGUAGAAGGAGACAGAUUGGAUUUUUGUGUGUUUGGUAUUUGGGAUAAGAGGGAUGUGGGUGUGUACUUGACAUGGG
rnacentral:lncRNA from 1 species